GUGAAUCUGAGGAGCUUCAAAUGCUUUUAUUUGUCGGUAAAUCAAGACUGUUUUAUCAUGGCGUUUCAAACAGCUUUGUUUUCAUUUAUCGGACUUAUUUACUUUAGCGUUCAAAGCGAGGACAUAUUUAAUUACGCAUCCAUAAAAACUGAUUGGAAAACCGCACAAGACAGCUGUAUAAAGGACAAUCGUAUUCUGGUGUCGGAUAUCCCUGGCCACCUUCCGCAACUCAAGCCUGGGGACGUCAUCUGGACUAACUCCAAAUUGACGUGGUUCGAAUAUCCCCAAGGGAAUUUCCAGUAUUUUGUGUUUGGCUAUUCUUCUUCAAACUCUAUCGGGAAAAACUGCAUCUGCCACGUUCGCAUAGG